CUUAGGCCCAAAUCCUAAUCAACCAUUUCAUUUCAUUUCAUCAUUCAUCACCUUUCCAAACAAAACAAACCCUAAAUUCGUUAAAACCCAACAAAACACACUUCACUCCACUCUCUCAAGCUCCUCAUCAAUGGCGUCACAAAUGUCGAUUCUCUAUCGAACGCGUUCUCUUCUCACAAAACCCAAUUUCACAAUCAAAUCAAUCUCAACAUUCCCAUAUCUCAAUCAAGAACCCGAACUUGUAGACCCCACACCACCACCACCAACAGAAUCAUCACUCCCACCAAAUCCAGCGUCAGGAUCCCCACUCUACAACGAAAAUUGGCGCAACCCAGUUCCAAAAACUUCAUCUUUAACCCAAUUUGGUCAUUUCACACGCGCUUCAGUUUCUGAAACCUAUGAUUCCAACGCGCUUUUGAAUGUUUUUGGUGAUUGGGUAGCUUCACAACGUUGGGGUGAUGUGAAGGAAAUGUUUGAAGGAUGGGUUAGGAGUUUGGAUAAAAAUGGGAAACCUAAUAAACCUGAUGUUAAUUUGUUUAAUCAUUAUAUUAGGGCUAAUCUUAUGAUUGGUGCUUCUGCUGCUGAUUUGCUUGAUUUGUUAGCUCAGAUGGAACAAUUUGAUAUUUUGCCGAAUACAGCGAGUUUUAAUUUGGUUCUUAAGGCUAUGCAUCAGGCUAGAGAGACUCUUGCUGCUGAGAAGCUUCUUGAACGGAUGCUGCAAUCUGGAAAUGAAGCUUUUCCUGAUGAUGAAUCAUUUGACUUGGUCAUUGGAAUGCUCUUUGCAACAGAUCAGAUUGAUACUGCAUUCAAAUAUAUAGAUUCAACUCUAAAACAUGGCAACAAGUUGUCAAUGGAUUUAUUUAUGAAAUGUGUGAGGAGUUGUGUCAAACAAGGAAGGCUUGAUACGUUGGUGGCAAUAAUUGAAAAGUGCAGGGCAACAGAUCAAAACAAAGCCCUUUGCCCCUCCUGGAAAUUGUGCAUUUUCAUAGCUGAAGUUGCAAUUCGAGCGGAUAAUAGCAAGUUAGCCUAUUAUGGCCUGGAGUUUAUGGCUCGAUGGAUUGUAAAGGGUGAACGUGCAAGACCUCCUGUGUUGCUUUCUGUAGAUGAAGGUUUAGCCGUGUCAGCUCUGAUGACUGCAGGUAGAACCUAUAAUUCUGAGCUGCUAGGAGCAGCAUGGGCUGUUUUGGACCGUUCGUUGCGUAAAAAGAAGCUUCCAAAUCCAGAAUCUUAUCUCGCAAAGAUAUAUGCCCUUGCAUCAUUGGGCAAUCUACAAAAGGCAUUUGGCACUCUGCAUGAUUAUGAGUCUGCUUAUGGAAAUUCUGAUCAAGAAGCUGACGACUUAUUCUGCCCAUUUACUUCUUUACAUCCAUUGUCUGUGGCAUGCUCAAAGAAGGGUUUUGAGACUUUAGAUACUGUUUAUUUUCAACUGGAGAAUUUAAGCCAUGCUGAGCGUCCAUACAAGUCUGUUGCUGCGCUAAACUGCGUCAUUGUAGGAUCUGCGAACAUAUGGGACCUUGAUCGAGCUUACCAAACUUUUGAAUCAAUUGCUUCUACUUUUGGGUUGACUCAUAAUAUUCAUUCGUAUAAUGGGCUGAUGUAUGCAUUUGGGAAGGUCAAUAAGGCAGAUGAAGUUUCAAAGGUGUUUGGGUACAUAGUAAAUUCGGGUCUCAAGCCUAAUGCAAAGUCGUAUUGCCUGCUUAUCGAUGCCCACCUGAUUAAUAGGGAUGUCAAAUCUGCUAUGGGAGUGCUUGAUGAUAUGAUAGCUGCUGGAUUUGAACCGAUGAAAGGGACACUAAAAAAGAUCAGAAGACGAUGCAUACGAGAGUUCGACACUGAAAGCGAUGAACGACUGGAGUCACUCGCUCUAUCUUACAAUUACCGAAUGGGUUCUGAAGGCCGACGAAACAUGCUGUUUAAUCUUAAUUACAGUACUGAAAUGGCUUGAAUGUGCGCACAUUUUGGUUAAGAGUCUUUAUCUUUCACACACACUCACAGGUACAUACGGGGAAGACUGUUAUGAAGGGCUACCUCGCAUUAUUUUCUUUGUAACCCCUCACCUUUUCUCAAUGGUGCACUUGUCUUUGAUGGCAAAAUGAAUAUUUUUAUAAGCCAAUCAGUAAUUCUUUUAUUGCAUCCAUUACCAAGAGAAUCCCUGUAUGUAUAUUAGUGGAUGAUACUCUGAGGUUUGCCGACGCAGAUUGGUCCGAGGAAUUUUUUUCGUUUCUGUAUUAAUGUGUUUAUGAAGCGGGAAGGGUGUUGAAGAUGGAAUUUGCUUUUUAGGGAUAUCUGAGCAGUGAACUUCCUAGUAUAAGUUUUUAUGAAAUAAUUGUAGGACAAAUCCAAAUUCAGUAGGAUAGAUGAUAUUAAAGCAGACAUCUCUUUUGUGGUUCUUAAUUUUGUUUUUGGCACUUUGACAACCACUUCUAACCACUAGAAGCUGCAAGGAUUUGAAAACCUUGUAUAAGAAUUACAAUCCUAAUUGUAUGGACCUGUGGUUGUAUUUCUUUCUGCUGCAAAUAAUGGCAACAUUUUUAAUUCAAUGCAUGUUUUAUAAAA